rnacentral:rRNA from 1 species
AUUGAACGCUGGCGGCAUGCUUUACACAUGCAAGUCGAACGGUAACAGGCCGCAAGGUGCUGACGAGUGGCGAACGGGUGAGUAAUGCAUCGGAACGUGCCCAGUCGUGGGGGAUAACGCAGCGAAAGCUGUGCUAAUACCGCAUACGAUCUAUGGAUGAAAGCGGGGGACCGUAAGGCCUCGCGCGAUUGGAGCGGCCGGUGUCCGGUUAGGUAGUUGGUGGGGACAAGGCUCACCAAGCCAAAGAUCUGUAGAGGGUCUGAGAGGACGGCCAGCCAAACUGGGGCGGAGACACGGACCAGACUCCUACGGGAGGCGGCGGUGGGGAAUUUUGGACAAUGGGCGCAAGCCUGAUCCAGCAAGGCCGCGUGCAGGAAGAAGGCCUUCGGGUUGUAAACUGCUUUUGUACGGAACGAAAAGGUUUGGGUUAAUACCCUGGGCCGAUGACGGUACCGUAAGAAUAAGCACCGGCUAACUACGUGCCAGCCGCCGCCGUAAGAC